rnacentral:rRNA from 1 species
GAUGAACGCUGGCGGCGUGCCUAAUACAUGCAAGUCGAGCGAACGGACGAGAAGCUUGCUUCUCUGAUGUUAGCGGCGGACGGGUGAGUAACACGUGGAUAACCUACCUAUAAGACUGGAUAACUUCGGGAAACCGGAGCUAAUACCGGAUAAUAUUUUGAACCGCCUGGUUCAAAAGUGAAAGACGGUCUUGCUGUCACUUAUAGAUGGAUCCGCGCUGCAUUAGCUAGUUGGUAAGGUAACGGCUUACCAAGGCAACGAUGCAUAGCCGACCUGAGAGGGUGAUCGGCCACACUGGAACUGAGACACGGUCCAGACUCCUACGGGAGGCAGCAGUAGGGAAUCUUCCGCAAUGGGCGAAAGCCUGACGGAGCAACGCCGCGUGAGUGAUGAAGGUCUUCGGAUCGUAAAACUCUGUUAUUAGGGAAGAACAUAUGUGUAAGUAACUGUGCACAUCUUGACGGUACCUAAUCAGAAAGCCACGGCUAACUACGUG